CUUUCCACAAGAGACCAAAAUGACACAGAAAUUACCAACUAUAGGUCACCGUACGGUCGUCAACAAUGAAUAAAGCCCAUACCGCAUAGUCAUCUUUAAAAUGUCCCGAAAUAACAAUGGAAAACGACUUCGGAAAACUAACGGCUUAUUUAUGUACAAAAAAUUACCGAUAAACAAAUAUGUAACACAUACACAAACAACCACUGAAUAAGUAUACAAG
rnacentral:lncRNA from 1 species